rnacentral:lncRNA from 1 species
CUUAAUCAUUAUCCAAAACAUUGCUUAUAAUCAUUUACGUGGUUUUAUAUUUUCUCACUUUAAUAUUCUGUGGUUUCAAGUGUAUCAAUUUAGUAUUCUAUUGUUUCAAUUUUUUUUUCUUUUUAUUAUCUCCUCUAUUAAUUUUUUUUAUUAAACCAGUGAUAAAGUUAAAACUAAAAUGUAUUAAAAUGAAUAUUCGAUAAAUUUAGGUCAGGUACGUAUCUGAAGUUUUUUGUAUAUAAUUUAACGAAAUAUUAACGGAGGAGCUGACGAAAAGAAAAAAAAAAAACAACAGGGUACUAAAUUGAUACACUUUAAACUACAAGAUGCUAAAGUGAGAAAGUGUAAAACUAUAGGAUGGUAUUUGAAAUUCAAAAAAAAA